UACAGAGGUCCCAAGCGUUGUUCGGAUUCAUUGGGCGUAAAGGGUGUGUAGGUGGCGCCGUAAGUCGGGUGUGGAAUCUCGGGGCUUAACUCCGAAACUGCAUUCGAUACUGCGGUGCUUGAGGACUGGAGAGGAGACUGGAAUUCAUGGUGUAGCAGUGAAAUGCGUAGAGAUCAUGAGGAAGACCAGUGGCGAAGGCGGGUCUCUGGACAGUUCCUGACACUGAGACACGAAGGCCAGGGGAGCAAACGGG
rnacentral:rRNA from 1 species